AGAUGGCGGACAGAAGCAAGAUGGUGGCUGGAUAGACAGCAUGGUGCCCAGACUUGGUGACGGUCAGAAACCAACCCAAACAAUGUAAAUCCUAUCCGCCCUCAUAAAAGGACAACACCAGGAUUUAAGGAUUACCACGGGGAACGUGACCUCCCCUUUGUCAUGUAUGUUUGUCAAGUGUUCGUCUAUGUUAUAUCUCAAACAUUAACAGAACGGGACAGGCUCCCGUUCACCCCAAUGCUUGGGCUAUCCCUCAACAAGAGAGAGAAGGACCAGAGCUCGCCAGGAACCCAGGCCUACUGUUUGACGAAGGAAUACGUACUUUCUUUCCAACUCCAAUGUUGCAUGGAAAGCAGAAGCAGGAGAAGACGAGUAGAGAAACUGAGUAAACGAUGCAUUGACGGUGUUCGUUAAGGCCUUUGCAGCUGGGUGUUUACCCUGCGGAUAACGGAUGAGGCAGAUAUGCUGCCACAGACACACCCAGCUGUAACGAAGGCACAAGCAAGUGAAUACAAUGUCUUCACUGGACUUAUUUGGCUUAUUUUCUGCAACUGUUCAAAAAUAAAUGACACACUGC
ensembl:lncRNA